GACGAACGCUGGCGGCGUGCUUAACACAUGCAAGUCGAACGGAGAGGCCCUGCUUUUGUGGGGUGCUCGAGUGGCGAACGGGUGAGUAACACGUGAGUAACCUGCCCUUGACUUUGGGAUAACUUCAGGAAACUGGGGCUAAUACCGGAUAGGAGCUCCUGCUGCAUGGUGGGGGUUGGAAAGUUUCGGCGGUUGGGGAUGGACUCGCGGCUUAUCAGCUUGUUGGUGGGGUAGUGGCUUACCAAGGCUUUGACGGGUAGCCGGCCUGAGAGGGUGACCGGCCACAUUGGGACUGAGAUACGGCCCAGACUCCUACGGGAGGCAGCAGUAGGGAAUAUUGCACAAUGGGCGGAAGCCUGAUGCAGCAACGCCGCGUGCGGGAUGACGGCCUUCGGGUUGUAAACCGCUUUCGCCUGUGACGAAGCGUGAGUGACGGUAAUGGGUAAAGAAGCACCGGCUAACUACGUG
rnacentral:rRNA from 1 species